rnacentral:rRNA from 1 species
CCUACGUGUGGCUGCAGUGGGGGAUAUUGCACAAUGGGGGGAACCCUGAUGCAGCGACGCCGCGUGGGUGAAGAAGCGCCUCGGCGCGUAAAGCCCUGUCAGUAGGGAAGAAAAUGACGGUACCUGAAGAAGAAGCCCCGGCUAAGUACGGGCCAGCAGCCGCGGUAAUAUGUAGGGGGCAAGUGUUAUCCGGAUUAACUGGGUGUAAAGGGGGCGCAGACGGCGAUGCAAGCCAGGGGUGAAAGCCCGGGGCCCAACCCCGGUACUGCUCUUGGUACUGCGUGGCUGGAGUGCAGAAGGGGCAGGCGGAAUGCCUGGUGUAGCGGUGAAAUGCGUAGAUAUCAGGAGGAACACCGGUGGCGAAGGCGGCCUGCUGGACUGCAACUGACGUUGAGGCCCGAAAGCGUGGGGAGCAAACAGGAUUAGAUACCCUAGUAGUC